ACCAUAGGAACCAGCGUAUCGAUCUGCGCCUGCGCGGGUGUGCGAUAGCGUGCUGGAGGUAUGACGGUGGAUAAACCGACAUUCCCUAAGGAACCGAGUUAGCGAGGGCCCAGCGGGCGGUGCGCUCCGGCUGCCUGGUGGCUGUGCCUGGCACUCCCCCGGCAGUUUUGACUCGUGAGGUACUUGACCGAGGCCAUUCGAGAGAAACAGUGUGUCCCCGCCGCCACUCCAGCAACGGUUAAGCUCAUGGACUGUGGACCCGCGCUAGCCAUCCAGAAUUGCUCUCAUGCUUCCAAACCUUUGGAGCAGGUUCUGCUGGAAUGAUUCCAUACGCUCACUGCCACCUCCCCGCUGUCUCCCAUCUCCCAGCUCACAGAUAACCUGGCAUGAAAAGAGAAAAGGCACUAUAAACGACAAUCAGUAAAAACAACAGAAACAUGAAGACUUCAGGUAUUAAAAUUUUAGACAGCUUUCAUACCCUCCCUGCAAUGAAGUGCUAAUUAUUUACAAGUGUGGAUUGGGGUGCUUAGCUAGAGCUCUUUCCCUAAGUAAACUUGUUCCUUU